AAAGGAAUAGACGGGGGCCCGCACAAGCAGCGGAGCAUGUGGCUUAAUUCGAAGCAACGCGAAGAACCUUACCCGGGCUUGACGUGGCAGUGAGCCGGCGGAGACGCCGGGGCCGAGAGGAGCUGCCGCAGGUGGUGCAUGGCUGUCGUCAGCUCGUGUCGUGAGAUGUUGGGUUAAGUCCCGCAACGAGCGCAACCCCCGCCGCGUGUUGCCAUCGGGUCAUGCCGGGCACCCGCGCGGGACCGCCGGCGCCAAGCCGGAGGAAGGUGGGGACGACGUCAAGUCAUCAUGCCCCUCACGCCCGGGGCUGCACACGUGCUACAAUGGCCGGCACAGCGGGCAGCGACCGCGCGAGCGGGAGCGAAUCCCACAAAGCCGGCCCCAGUUCGGACCGGGGGCUGCAACCCGCCCCCGCGAAGCCGGAGUUGCUAGUAAUCGCGGAUCAGCACGCCGCGGUGAAUGCGUUCCCGGGCCUUGUACACACCGCCCGU
rnacentral:rRNA from 1 species